GCCAAGGGUUCUGUGGAACUCAGGAUGUGCACCUGGAUUAACUCAGAAGGAAUUUCCCAGGGUAAAUGGGACAUCGCAGAUUGAUAUCAGCUGGUUCUCUUCAUUGCCUCCUCCAGAAUCUCCAGUUCCCUGAUGAGUUAGAGAUAAACAACUCAUGUGAUGUCAACUAAAAUUUGCUAUCGUUUUCUGGGCUCUGUUGAGUAACCAGCCUCACUUUUUGAUGAGAACCAAGAAACCUGAGCAUUGUAUAAAAAUAAAAUAUAAAUUCCACUGAAAUACAAGCAAGUUAUCCUUCAUUCACAGGCUAAAUUUGCUUUGGAGAAGUGAAUGGGUUAAAGUCAAGACUGAAUGACCUGGAAUGCAUCUUUUUGAAGGAAAUGGAGCUGUGCAUGUAGAGGAGAAUGAAAAUAAGGGGAAGUUACAAGACAAAGAAAUCCAAGACUACUGACAGAUCAAGAGGUUUCACAUUUCAGAUCCUUUCAGCAUUCAGCAAAUGCAAUAAAUAUCAGAGGUGGCCUGUGUUGAAUGUAAGAACAGAUGUUGUUUCUGCAGGAAGCAGGAUGGAAACUUACACCCACUGGCUUGCUGCAACUUUGAGGAGACUUUCUUCUAUACCUUCCUCUAAAUGUGACUUGAAACCUUCCGCCGUGAUAUUUUAAUAAACUUUCUAUAUCUU